CUCUGCGGGGAGGCAGAGCUUCCAGAGAAUUAGCAGAGAUGGCUUUGUUUCCGGCUGGGAGACAACCAGGCAGAACUUGGCUUCCUUCACCAUUAGAAGCAGCUGGCCUGACUUAGGAGGUAUCAGAAUCUGACUGGAGAGAAAGAGGUUCCUGGCAGCCUCAGGACCUGGCUGGGCCCCCAGAAUGGACUGGAAAUGUCCAGGUACUGACUGGCCUUUGGGAACAGAUGAAAGAAGGGGUUGGUCUUCAGGCUUGAAUUCUGCCUCAACACAGCCCUUCCUCAUUUUGAGGUGCCCAACAAAGAGAGGUAAAGGCAAACAUGUGCUUUUGAUGAUGACAAAUCCCAAUGUAGACCCUUGUAACCUAGUGUUGGCCCCUGUGGAGUGUGCCUCCUUCCUGGGCUGGAGGCAGGCCUAAGGCCCGUAGUCAAAACGGGCUAUGUGGACAUUCCCUCCAAGCCCACACCAGAAUCUUUCAAGUAGGCAUCCCAGGAAAGGCCUGCACACUGGGGAGAAGCCAGAGCCUGAAGCCUUCCCAACCUUCAAGAAUGUUUCUAAGAGCAUUAUGCUUUGCCAAUGACACUGAACCACAGCCCCAGAUGGGAAAUUGUCCAAAUGUUAUUUUUUCACUAGGAAAUGACCUUAGUUGUCUCUGCUGAUGCUUUUUGUGUUAAAGUCUAU